CUUACUUUAGUUUAAAAAGAAUAGUGGUUUUGGGGACCACCGGUCUUGAAGAAGAAGUUUGG
rnacentral:tRNA from 1 species